rnacentral:rRNA from 1 species
GACGAACGCUGGCGGCGUGCUUAACACAUGCAAGUCGAACGGAAAGGCCCUGCUUUUGUGGGGUGCUCGAUUGGCGAACGGGUGAGUAACACGUGUGUAACCUGCCCUUGACUUUGGGGUAACUUCUGGAAACUGGGGCUAAUACCGGAUAGGAGCUCCUGCUGCAUGGUGGGGGUUGGAAAGUUUCGGCGGUUGGGGAUGUACUCGCGGCUUAUCAGCUUGUUGGUGGGGUAGUGGCUUACCAAGGCUUUGACGGGUAGCCGGCCUGGGAGGGUGACAGGCCACAUUGGGACAGAGAUAGGGCCCAGACGCCUACGGGAGGCAGGAGUGGGGAAUAUUGGAAAAAGGGCGGAGGCAGGAGGGAGCAACGCCGCGUGCGGGAUGACGGCCUUCGGGUGGGAAACCGCUUUCGAGUGUGACGAAGCGUGAGGGCGGGAAAUGGGUAAAGAAGCACGGGCAACCUACGG